GAAAAAUCAAUAAAAAAUAAGCAAAAAAAGGGAAGUAAAACAUUUCAGUACCUUUACAAGUAAUCAACCGAGGCACCGUUAGUAGUGGCGAGCGAAUGCGGUGUGGCCUUUAUACUAAAACAGUACAAAACCGAAUCGAAGAAGGUAUCAAACCUGUAGGUUUUUAUUAAUGGUGUAAAAUAAAGUACGACGAGCCAUGAAACGCUUGUUGGUUUAUUGCGGACCUACCCGCAAGGCCAAGCAGUAAAAUAACCGAUAGUGAACAAGUACCGUGAGGGAAAGGUGA
rnacentral:rRNA from 15 species